AUGGCAAAGAGAGCAAAGAAGAGGAACUUCACAAACACAGAAUUAGAGAUACUUGUAAAUGAAGUUGAAUCCAACCAACAGAUAUUGUUUAGUUCAUUCACUGCAGGAGGAAUUACAAAUAAAAGAAAAAAUGCUGCAUGGGAGAAUGUCACCAAUGCAGUUAAUUCCGUUGGGUCUGAGGAGAGAACUGUCCCAGAAAUUAAAAAAAAAUGGUUUGAUAUUAAAGUAUUGGCUAAAAAACGUGUCACAGCACACAGACGAGAAAUGUCCGCAACUGGAGGAGGACAGACAACAACGGAACUUUCCCCAUUGGACAACCGCAUAGCCUGCAUCAUCGGAGACACGGCUCUGUCCGGGAUUACUAAGGACGGUGACACUGAUGCUCUUGCGACAGAACAAACCGGGCCAUCUAACACCCAAAGUGAAGCGACACCCAUUGUGCCUGAGGAGCUUGAGGAGCCGGGCCCAUCCAUUGCCCCUUCCAUGCGCCGUGCGCCAAGAGUGCUGAGUGAGGCGGUGCUACAAAAUCAAGAGGAAACAACAAAAUCCAUUAAUGACCUAAAGGAUCAACUGAGCAACAUAACGAAUGUAUUGAUUCAAAUCAACGAGUCUCUGAAACAGAUUGCCUCUUGCGCAAAUACAAUUGCUAAUAAACCAUAAACCGCUGACUAAUGUGAUUUCAGUUAUUUGUUUCCACGAAGCUGCAAAACACAAAAUGAAAUCGCUGUAAUGUUUCUGCACUCGACCAAUGGCCAGACUUACCUAAAAUGUCUGUAUGAUCCUCUGUCUUGUCUGAAUGCCAGCGGCAUUAGGAGGUGGCAGGGGCACUGCAUCGGGCAUAGGGCCGUCUGGUCUUGGGGGUUCCUGCAGAGGGAUGCCCUGUCUGAUGGCCAAGUUGUGUAGCACACUGCAAGCCAUGAUGAUUUUGCAUGCUUUUUCUGGCUGAUACUGCAGUGUCCCUCCCGUGCUUGACAGACACAGCCAUCGUCCUUUCAGCAGGCCUAUUGCGCGCUCAACUGUGCUCCUUGAGCGCGCAUGGGCACGGUUGUACGCCUGUUCCUGCUCGGUCCUCGGGUUGGUUAGGGGGGUCAUUAGCCAUGGCUUUAGCGGGUAACCUUGAUCACCUAAUGAUGAAAUAGUUUUAAGUAAUUGUACAUAGCCCUACAAUAGCAUUUUAAACAUGUUGUAGCCUUAAAUUCACCAAUGAGCCAGCCAUCCUCAACAGCGCCUUCUUGGAGACGCACACCCACAGAGCUAUUCUGCAGAACGAACGAGUCGUGUGUUCCUCCAGGCCACCGCGCAACGACGUUUAAUAACAACAAAUUUGCAUCACAAAUUAUUUGCACGUUAACAGAAUGAAACCCUUUUCUAUUUACAUAAUUAAAUUCGUUGGUUGAUGGUGCUUUUAUGGCGAUGUGGGUGCAGUCUAUAGCUCCAAUUAUGUUUGGGAAUCUAGCAAUGGCAUGAAAGUCCCGUUUUAUUGCGGCUUGUUGAGGAUUUCGAUAAGGGAACUGGAUGUAGGUUGGGGCCAAGGAAAUAAUUGCAUCCAACACUGCCGGCAUGAUCCUACUCACUGAUGGCUGGGAUAUACCACAUAUGUCUCCAACCUCACGCUGAAAUGUGCCAGUAGCUAAAAAUCCAAGGGUGGACAGGAGUUGGA
ensembl:lncRNA